rnacentral:rRNA from 1 species
AGGAGUGGCAUCUAUUUCACAUUAAGUCACAACGGACAAAAGAUGAGCAUGCGUCCCAUUAGCUAGUUGGUAAGGUAACGGCUUACCAAGGCUACGAUGGGUAGGGGUCCUGAGAGGGAGAUCCCCCACACUGGUACUGAGACACGGACCAGACUCCUACGGGAGGCAGCAGUGAGGAAUAUUGGACAAUGGGCGCAAGCCUGAUCCAGCCAUGCCGCGUGCAGGAUGACGGUCCUAUGGAUUGUAAACUGCUUUUGUACAGGAAGAAACACUACUUCGUGAAGUAGCUUGACGGUACUGUAAGAAUAAGGAUCGGCUAACUCCGUG